rnacentral:rRNA from 1 species
AACAGGAUUAGAUACCCUGGUAGUCCACGCCGUAAACUAUGGAUGCUAGCUGUUAGAGGUAUCGACCCCUCUAGUAGCGAAGCUAACGCGUUAAGCAUCCCGCCUGUGGAGUACGGUCGCAAGACUAAAACAUAAAGGAAUUGACGGGGACCCGCACAAGCGGUGGAGCGUGUUGUUUAAUUCGAUGGUAAGCGAAGAACCUUACCCAGGCUUGACAUCCUUGGAAUUUCUCCGAAAGGAGAGAGUGCUUUAUUGAGCCAAGUGACAGGUGAUGCAUGGCCGUCGUCAGCUCGUGUCGUGAGAUGUUUGGUUAAGUCCAUCAACGAGCGCAACCCUUGUGAUUAGUUGAAUUUUUCUAAUCAGACUGCCCUGGUAACAGGGAGGAAGGGGGGGAUGAUGUCAGGUCAGUAUUUCCCUUACGUCUGGGGCUACAAACACGCUACAAUGGCCGGUACAAAGGGCUGCCAAGUCGCGAGACGGAGCAAAUCCCAUCAAAGCCGGUCUCAGUUCGGAUAGCAGGCUGAAACUCGCCUGCUUGAAGCUGGAAUCGCUAGUAACGGUAGGUCAGCACACUACCGUGAAUACGUUCCCGGGUCUUGUACACACCGCCCGUCAAACCAUGAAAGUCGCCAAUACCUGACGUGUUGCCUCCGCGCAGCCCUAAGGUAGGGGAGAUGAUUGGGGUUAAGUCGUAACAAGGUAACC